UGGGAACGUACCUUUCAGUUCGGAAUAACCCAGGGAAACUUGGGCUAAGACCGGAUACGCCCUUUUGGGGAAAGAUUUAUCGCUGAGAGAUCGGCCCGCGUCUGAUUAGCUAGUUGGUGAGGUAAAGGCUCACCAAGGCGACGAUCAGUAGCUGGUCUGAGAGGAUGAUCAGCCACAUUGGGACUGAGACACGGCCCAAACUCCUACGGGAGG
rnacentral:rRNA from 1 species